ACCGACAUGACUACACCAUGUGAGCCGCAUGGAGUCCAAUGUUUUUCCCUCCUAAGGAGAGAACCCCACAUUGGCGGGGGUGUUGUACUCUUGCCAGGGAGUACAACCUCAAUCUCAUUAUCACAAUCCCAUACUCGGCCUCUGGCCCACAAGCGGGGGUGUGUACUCUUGCCAGGGAGUACAACCUCAAUCUCAUUAUCACAAUCCCAUACUCGGCCUCUGGCCCACAAUUAUCAACAUCAAUCCUACAGAGGCACGUAGUUUUGAGGAAAUACCAUAUUUCCCACUCGGUGCUAAAUACUCCUCCCAAACUCGGCUCAGAACGCGUCAGGAAAUCCACCUUAAUUAAUAUCAACUCAUGGGUCUAUUAUAAAGACC
rnacentral:lncRNA from 1 species